rnacentral:rRNA from 1 species
GUGGGGAAUUUUGGACAAUGGGCGCAAGCCUGAUCCAGCAAUGCCGCGUGCAGGAAGAAGGCCUUCGGGUUGUAAACCUCUGUCCUUGGUGACGAAAAAAAUGACGGUAGCCAAGGAGGAAGCCCCGGCUAACUACGUGCCAGCAGCCGCGGUAAUACGUAGGGGGCGAGCGUUGUCCGGAAUUACUGGGCGUAAAGGGUGCGUAGGUGGCCUUUUAAGUUGGAUGUGAAAUACCCGGGCUUAACUUGGGGGGUGCAUCUAAUACUGGAGGGCUAGAGUGCAGGAGAGGGAAGCGGAAUUCCUAGUGUAGCGGUGAAAUGCGUAGAUAUUAGGAGGAACACCAGUGGCGAAGGCGGCUUUCUGGACUGUAACUGACACUGAGGCACGAAAGCGUGGGGAGCAAACAGGAUUAGAAACCCGGGUAGUCC